ACCAGCUGACUAGUCCCAAAUAGGACGAAACGCUUGUCAUUGAU
rnacentral:hammerhead_ribozyme from 1 species